rnacentral:rRNA from 1 species
AGUGAACGCUGGCGGUAGGCCUAACACGUGCAAGUCGAACGGCAGCACAGUAAGAGCUUGCUCUUACGGGUGGCGAGUGGCGGACGGGUGAGGAAUACAUCGGAAUCUACUUUUUCGUGGGGGAUAACGUAGGGAAACUUACGCUAAUACCGCAUACGACCUACGGGUGAAAGCAGGGGAUCUUCGGACCUUGCGCGAUUGAAUGAGCCGAUGUCGGAUUAGCUAGUUGGCGGGGUAAAGGCCCACCAAGGCGACGAUCCGUAGCUGGUCUGAGAGGAUGAUCAGCCACACUGGAACUGAGGCACGGUCCAGACUCCUACGGGAGGCAGCAGUGGGGAAUAUUGGACAAUGGGCGCAAGCCUGAUCCAGCCAUACCGCGUGGGUGAAGAAGGCCUUCGGGUUGUAAAGCCCUUUUGUUGGGAAAGAAAAGCAGCAGGUUAAUACCCCGCUGUUCUGACGGUACCCAAAGAAUAAGCACCGGCUAACUUCGUG